UACGUAGGCAGCAAGCGUUGUUCGGAGUUACUGGGCGUAAAGAGCUCGUAGGUGGUUUGUCGCGUUGUUCGUGAAAACUCACAGCUCAACUGUGGGCGUGCGGGCGAUACGGGCAGACUAGAGUACUGCAGGGGAGACUGGAAUUCCUGGUGUAGCGGUGGAAUGCGCAGAUAUCAGGAGGAACACCGGUGGCGAAGGCGGGUCUCUGGGCAGUAACUGACGCUGAGGAGCGAAAGCGUGGGGAGCGAACAGG
rnacentral:rRNA from 1 species